GGAUGUGAGGGCAGUCCGGCUGCAACGUGUCCCCCCGCUGAUCACCACGGUUGAUUCGGCUGAUCCGGCUGGCUAGGCGGGUGUCCCCUUCCUCGCCGCUCCAUGCCCUCCUGAAGCUGCAUGCUCAGCGGAAGAGGACAACCUUCCCCCCUCCCACCCACAGAGGAGGACUGUUCUUCGGUCAAGGGAGCACGAGUGGCUGCAGUCCCCUGCUAGAACCUCCAAAUACUCGCUCAAGGUCCAUUGUGGGAGGAUGUAGGGUAGUCAGGCUUCCAAGCCUCCAGACACGGCCAAACGAGGCACUGCAUGUGGCAGGCUGCCUUUCUUA
rnacentral:snRNA from 1 species